CUGACACGAAGCCACCAGCUAUUGGAAAGAGUCUUUUGAACGAAGGCAUCAUAGGCCCCAUGAGGGGAAGAGGAAGCCGCAAAGAACAUCAGAAUGUGAAAAUAGAAGCAAGAAGAGAAGAUGGAUGGUAGCCUAGGAAGAGGACUUCUGGCCUUGGCUGCGAGUUGGGUGACCUCAGGGGGCAUUCUCUGGGCACAGGAGCAUGCCCUGCCCCUGCACAGGUCAGAUCGGGAGCAACUGAAAAAUAAUGCCUUGGAGUGAUUCUCAGCCAUUGAGUCUUUUAGAUCGACUAAGGACCAAGGAAGAUACUCUUCAAUAUAAUAAUGAGGAAGAACAUUGACUUCCUGGUUUCUGAAUGGUAAGGAUGUUCUUAAGCCAAAGUAUAUAAUUUCUGGAGAACUCAGUAAGUACUUUGUUUAUGGUGACAUUGCCUCCCAAUCAUUUUAAGGUCUAGCUGCCAAA